GACGUAGGGCGCGAGCGUUGUCCGGAUUUAUUGGGCGUAAAGAGCGUGUAGGCGGCCAGUCAGGUCCGUUGUGAAAACUCGAGGCUCAACCUCGAGACGCCGAUGGAAACCGACUGGCUAGAGUCCGGAAGAGGAGAGUGGAAUUCCCGGUGUAGCGGUGAAAUGCGCAGAUAUCGGGAAGAACACCCGUGGCUAAGGCGGCUCUCUAGUACGGUACUGACGCUGAGACGCGAAAGCGUGGGGAGCGAACAGG
rnacentral:rRNA from 1 species